UACGGAAGGCAGCAGUGGGGAAUAUUGCACAAUGGGCGCAAGCCUGAUGCAGCCAUGCCGCGUGUAUGAAGAAGGCCUUCGGGUUGUAAAGUACUUUCAGUCGUGAGGAAGGUGUUAAGGUUAAUAACCUUAGCAAUUGACGUUAGCGACAGAAGAAGCACCGGCUAACUCCGUGCCAGCAGCCGCGGUAAUACGGAGGGUGCGAGCGUUAAUCGGAAUUACUGGGCGUAAAGGGCACGCAGGCGGUUAAUUAAGUUGGAUGUGAAAUCCCCGGGCUUAACCUGGGAAUGGCAUUCAAGACUGGUUAGCUAGAGUCUUGUAGAGGGGGUAGAAUUCCGAUGUGUAGCGGUGAAAUGCGUAGAGAUGUGGAGGAAUACCGGUGGCGAAGGCGGCCCCUGGACAAAGGACUGACGCUCAUGUGCGAAAGCGUGGGGAGCGAAACAGGGAUUAGAUACC
rnacentral:rRNA from 1 species